rnacentral:rRNA from 1 species
GACGAACGCUGGCGGCGUGCUUAACACAUGCAAGUCGAACGGUGAAGCGCCUUCCUUUUUGGUGGGUGUGGAUGAGUGGCGAACGGGUGAGUAACACGUGAGUAACCUGCCCCCUUCUUCUGGAUAACCGCAUGAAAGUGUGGCUAAUACGGGAUAUUCUGGGUCUGUCGCAUGAUGGGUCUGGGAAAGAUAUUGUUUCGGUGGGGGAUAGGCUCGCGGCCUAUCAGCUUGUUGGUGGGGUGAUGGCCUACCAAGGCGGUGACGGGUAGCCGGCCUGAGAGGGUGGACGGUCACACUGGGACUGAGACACGGCCCAGACUCCUACGGGAGGCAGCAGUGGGGAAUAUUGCACAAUGGGCGCAAGCCUGAUGCAGCGACGCCGCGUGAGGGAUGGAGGCCUGCGGGUUGUGAACCUCUUUCGCCAGUGAAGCAGGCCUGCCUCGUUUGUGGGUGGGUUGACGGUAGCUGGAUAAGAAGCGCCGGCUAACUACGUG